rnacentral:rRNA from 1 species
AUUGAACGCUGGCGGCAGGCUUAACACAUGCAAGUCGAACGAGUGGCGGACGGGUGAGUAAUGCUUGGGAAUCUAGCUUAUGGAGGGGGAUAAAUACGGGAAACGGUAGCUAAUACCGCGUACCAUAGGAUGAGCCCAAGUGGGAUUAGGUAGUUGGUGAGGUAAAGGCUCACCAAGGCGACGAUAUCUAGCUGGUCUGAGAGGAUGACCAGCCACACUUGGACUGAGCCACGGCCCAGACUCCUACGGGAGGCAGCAUGGGGGAAUAUUGCGCAAUGGGGGCAACCUGACGCAGCCAUGCCGCGUGAAUGAAGAAGGCCUUCGGGUUGUAAAGUUCUUUCGGUAGCGAGGCGUUAACUACAGAAGAAGCACCGGCUAACUCCGUGCCAGCAGCCGCGGUAAUUC